CUUAUGAAAUGACCCCCAAGGGACAUAAAUCAGCUCCUCCAAGACUCUUAGUGCUAAAGGAGAUUGGAAAACCUAGAGGAUUUUAAAGGUUUAGCUAAUCCACAUAGAAGAGAGGUCCAGGAGAGGGUGGACUUCUAGAAGAAUAACCUCUCCUUAUGAGACACCUUUCAUUAGGAAUUUGGAGUCAGAGGGAAAGCUUGCAGUAUGGAAGUUUUCCACUAUCUACAGAGCUGUGUCUACAAACAGCUUGAAGAAGAUUCAGUCCGAAGGAUCACAGUCAACCACAGGGCGGAGUUGAUUAUGGUUGUAACAAGCAGCUAUAGGGGACAAUCACAUCUACAAAACCUUCACUGUUCUUGAGAGCUGGUGCCCUCGUUUGUUACGAUAAAUCUUUCCACCAAAGCUGCCUGAGCCCUACCGCCAUGUGGGCGGUCUCCGCCAGCCGCCCAAGUUCUGCCCGCCACGUGAUGGACAAAAUAAUACACAGACUUAUAUUAGGUACAAAUGCUGCUUGGCCAAUGACUAGGAUUUCUCAUCUGCUAGCUCAGUCUUAAUUAUCAUAAAUCUAUAUAUUUUAUAAGACUUAUGGGACCCCUUCCAUUGGCACCCUCCCUUGCCAGUGGAUCACAUGGCACUGCUGGAGGAGGAGUGGAGGGGAAAAAGGGACACUUUCUGUUUCUCCUUGACUAAAUAUGAGUCUCCUUGCUAUGUCACUUCCUGCCUGGAUCACCACUUCUCUACUUCAUUUCCCAGAAUCCUCUUUGACUCCUAGUCCCAUCUAACUUUCUGUCUCAUUGGCCAAACAGAACUUUAUUUAUCAUCCAGUAAGACAAACACAUACACAGAAGAACUUCCCCCAUCACUCAUUUCCAGAAUAGAGGUUAGUGUUCCCUUCGUGACUGCACAGAGGACUUUAAGUGAGGCAGUCUCUAUGCAAAGGUGGUCAGCUGCUCAAGCAGUAAUAGCCACGUAGAUUAUUAAGGUUAUUCACUGGGGAAAGGUUGAUCAAUAGCCAUGAAUUAGAGUUGGAUAGAGGUCAGAAGUUCUGGUGUGUUAUUGUUGAACAGUAGGGUAACUGUAGAUGAUACUUUAAGAAGCUAGAAAAGAUUUUAUAAUUAUAAUUUUAUAAUUAUGGUGACAUAUAUGAUAAAUGUUUGAUGAGAUGGGUAUAUGUACUACCUCAGAAUGUACACAUAUAUUCAAAUGUUACAUGGUAUCUCAUAAAUAUGCAUCAUUUUUGUCUUAAUGUGUCAGUUAAAUAAAUUUAAUUGGCAGGCCUAAUGACG
rnacentral:lncRNA from 1 species